AGGGGGCCUACGUCAGUCAAUCAACACCGAGCAACGGGAGAGGGGAGCGGGGAGCAGGAGGUGGUGAGAACAUGAACCAUACCUCUGCCGGCGCCUCUGCCUCGUCCACGUCCUCUUCCUCGUCCACGUCCGCGUCCCCUGAAACCUCCGCGGAACGGCGCUCCCUCGCUCUUCACGCUGGACACUUCGUCGUGAUCGUCGCGCCACUCCCGCUCGUAUUUCUGACUGUGCCAGUCUGCGGCGAGAGAAGACACUUACACGUCAUAUAUCUGCACGAUCACCAACACUGAAGUCACAGAUCAAAGCCAAGAGACAAAAAAAAGAACUUUGGGAACUCUUUGUGACCGCAGAACAAACAUCACAGUUUCUUUUUAAGAAGAGAGGACGGAACAAAGCCAAGUCAGUCUGUGAUGUUUCUAUGAAACCAUGUAUAUUUAGAAGGUUUUAAAGCAGAAGCAACAAAUUAGAACACAGCACGAGUCAGUCAUUCAGACACAGAGUGGAAUAAAAUCCUGCAACCAAAAA